GGCCAAGUUUUUAAGGGCGCACGGUGGAUGCCUUGGCACCAGGAACCGAUGAAGGACGUGGGAGGCCACGAUAGGCCCCGGGGAGCCGUCAACCAGGCUGUGAUCCGGGGGUGUCCGAAUGGGGAAACCCGGCAGUCGUCAUGGGCUGUCACCCGCUGCUGAACACAUAGGCAGUGCGGAGGGAACGCGGGGAAGUGAAACAUCUCAGUACCCGCAGGAAGAGAAAACAACCGUGAUUCCGGGAGUAGUGGCGAGCGAAACCGGACGAGGCCAAACCGCAGGCGUGUGAGACCCGGCAGGGGUUGCGCAUGCGGGGUUGUGGGAUCUCUCUUCCACGGUCUGCCGGCCGUGGGACGAGUCAGAAACCGUUGGCGUAGGCGAAGGACAUGCGAAAGGUCCGGCGCAGAGGGUAAGACCCCCGUAGCCGAAACGUCAGCGGCUCGUUGGAGAGACACCCAAGUAGCACGGGGCCCGAGAAAUCCCGUGUGAAUCCGGCGGGACCACCCGCCAAGCCUAAAUAUUCCCUGGUGACCGAUAGCGGAGAGUACCGUGAGGGAAUGGUGAAAAGUACCCCGGGAGGGGAGUGAAAUAGUACCUGAAACCGUGUGCCUACAAGCCGUGGGAGCGUCGGAACGAGGCUUGCCUCGUUCUCGUGACUGCGUGCCUUUUGAAGAAUGAGCCUGCGAGUUUGCGGUGUGUUGCGAGGUUAACCCGGGUGGGGAAGUCGUAGCGAAAGCGAGUCCGAACAGGGCGGUUUCAGUAGCACGCUCAAGACCCGAAGCGGAGUGAUCUAGCCAUGGGCAGGUUGAAGCGGAGGUAAGACUUCGUGGAGGACCGAACCCACCAGGGUUGAAAACCUGGGGGAUGACCUGUGGUUAGGGGUGAAAGGCCAAUCAAACUCCGUGAUAGCUGGUUCUCCCCGAAAUGCAUUUAGGUGCAGCGUCGUGUGUUUCUUGCCGGAGGUAGAGCACUGGAUAGGCGAUGGGCCCUACCGGGUUACUGACCUUAGCCAAACUCCGAAUGCCGGCAAGUGAGAGCGCGGCAGUGAGACCGUGGGGGAUAAGCUCCAUGGUCGAGAGGGAAACAGCCCAGAGCAUCGACUAAGGCCCCCAAGCGUACGCUAAGUGGGAAAGGAUGUGGAGUCGCAGAGACAACCAGGAGGUUGGCUUAGAAGCAGCCACCCUUGAAAGAGUGCGUAAUAGCUCACUGGUCUAGUGAUUCCGCGCCGACAAUGUAGCGGGGCUCAAGCGUACCGCCGAAGUCGUGUCAUUGCGAUAUGUACCCCCAACGGGGAUCGUGAUGGGUAGGGGAGCGUCGUGUGCCGGGUGAAGCAGCCGCGGAAGCGAGUUGUGGACGGUUCACGAGUGAGAAUGCAGGCAUGAGUAGCGAUUCACACGUGAGAAACGUGUGCGCCGAUUGACUAAGGGUUCCUGGGUCAAGCUGAUCUGCCCAGGGUAAGUCGGGACCUAAGGCGAGGCCGACAGGCGUAGUCGAUGGACAACCGGUUGAUAUUCCGGUACCCGCGGUGCAGCGCCAGACACCGAGCAUCGUGAUGCUAAGGCCGUGAAGCCGCCCCGGAGCCUUCGGGUGAAGGGGAGUGGUGGAGCCGCCGGCCCAAGCGGUUAGUAGGUGAGUGAUGGGGUGACGCAGGAAGGCAGUCCAGCCCGGGCGGUGGUUGUCCCGGGGUAAGGGUGUAGGACGUCAGGUAGGCAAAUCCGCCUGGCACAUCGUCUGAGACCCGAUGCCGAGCCGAUUGCGGCGAAGUGGAUGAUCCUAUGCUGUCGAGAAAAGCCUCUAGCGAGUUGCACGGCGGCCCGUACCCGAAACCGACUCAGGUGGUCAGGUAGAGAAUACCGAGGCGUUCGGGUGAACUAUGGUUAAGGAACUCGGCAAAAUGCCCCCGUAACUUCGGGAGAAGGGGGGCCAUCACUGGUGAUCCGGCUCUGCCCGGUGAGCUGGGGGUGGCCGCAGAGACCAGCGAGAAGCGACUGUUUACUAAAAACACAGGUCCGUGCGAAGCCGUAAGGCGAGGUAUACGGACUGACGCCUGCCCGGUGCUGGAACGUUAAGGGGACCGGUCAGCUUGGAUUCGUCCAGGCGAAGCUGAGAACUUAAGCGCCAGUAAACGGCGGUGGUAACUAUAACCAUCCUAAGGUAGCGAANNNNNNNNNNNNNNNNNNNNNNNNNNNNNNNNNNNNNNNNNNNNNNNNNNNNNNNNNNNNNNNNNNNNNNNNNNNNNNNNNNNNNNNNNNNNNNNNNNNNUCGCGUACCUGGAGACCCAUGAGGAGGCGGUGGGUCGGCCCGACUCCUACUGGCGGGAGCGGACGGCGAACGCGGCGGAGGACGCGGGCGGGGUGCGGCAGUUCGUCGCCGAGGCGGCGGACGGGUCCUGGGUGGGCACGGUCACCGUGCUGAUCGAGGAGGCCGGGGCGACGGACUGGGCCGGGUUCCCGGUCGCGCGGCGGCAGGGGCAUCUCGUCGGGGUGUACGUGCGGCCCGGGCACCGGGGGAGCUGGGUGACCGGGGCGUUGUUCGACGCCGCGCUGGAGUGGGCGUGGGGGCGCGGGGCGGAGCGUGUGCGGCUCAUCGUGCAUCCGGAGAACGCGCGGGCGCUGGGCUUCUACCGCACGAAUAGACGUAACGACUUCUCGACUGUCUCAACCAUAGGCCCGGUGAAAUUGCACUACGAGUAAAGAUGCUCGUUUCGCGCAGCAGGACGGAAAGACCCCGGGACCUUUACUACAGUUUGAUAUUGGUGUUCGGUUCGGCUUGUGUAGGAUAGCUGGGAGACUGUGAAGCGGCCACGCCAGUGGUCGUGGAGUCGUCGUUGAAAUACCAGUCUGGUCGUGCUGGAUGUCUAACCUGGGUCCGUGAUCCGGAUCAGGGACAGUGUCUGAUGGGUAGUUUAACUGGGGCGGUUGCCUCCUAAAGGGUAACGGAGGCGCCCAAAGGUUCCCUCAGCCUGGUUGGCAAUCAGGUGGUGAGUGUAAGUGCACAAGGGAGCUUGACUGUGAGACCGACGGGUCGAGCAGGGACGAAAGUCGGGACUAGUGAUCCGGCGGUGGCUUGUGGAAGCGCCGUCGCUCAACGGAUAAAAGGUACCCCGGGGAUAACAGGCUGAUCUUCCCCAAGAGUCCAUAUCGACGGGAUGGUUUGGCACCUCGAUGUCGGCUCGUCGCAUCCUGGGGCUGGAGUCGGUCCCAAGGGUUGGGCUGUUCGCCCAUUAAAGCGGUACGCGAGCUGGGUUUAGAACGUCCUGAGACAGUUCGGUCCCUAUCCGCUGUGCGCGCAGGAGUCUUGAGAAGGGCUGUCCCUAGUACGAGAGGACCGGGACGGACGAACCUCUGGUGUGCCAGUUGUCCUGCCAAGGGCAUGGCUGGUUGGCUACGUUCGGGAGGGAUAACCGCUGAAAGCAUCUAAGCGGGAAGCCUGCUUCGAGAUGAGGACUCCCACCCACUUGAUGGGGUAAGGCUCCCAGCAGACGACUGGGUUGAUAGGCCGGAUCUGGAAGCACGGUAACGUGUGGAGGUGACCGGUACUAAUAGGCCGAGGGCUUGUCCUC
rnacentral:rRNA from 1 species